GACGAACGCUGGCGGCGUGCCUAAUACAUGCAAGUUGAGCGCUGAAGGUUGGUACUUGUACCAACUGGAUGAGCAGCGAACGGGUGAGUAACGCGUGGGGAAUCUGCCUUUGAGCGGGGGACGACAUUUGGAAACGAAUGCUAAUACCGCAUAAAAACUUUAAACACAAGUUUUAAGUUUGAAAGAUGCAAUUGCAUCACUCAAAGAUGAUCCCGCGUUGUAUUAGCUAGUUGGUGAGGUAAAGGCUCACCAAGGCGAUGAUACAUAGCCGACCUGAGAGGGUGGUCGGCCACCUUGGGACUGGGACACGGCCCAAACUCCUACGGGAGGCAGCAGUAGGGAAUCUUCGGCAAUGGACGAAAGUCUGACCGAGCAACGCCGCGGGAGUGAAGAAGGUUUUCGGAUCGUAAAACUCUGUUGGUAGAGAAGAACGUUGGUGAGAGUGGAAAGCUCAUCAAGUGACGGUAACUACCCAGAAAGGGACGGCUAACUACGUG
rnacentral:rRNA from 1 species